UACGGAGGAGGCAAGCGUUAUCCGGAAUUAUUGGGCGUAAAGCGUCCGCAGGUGGCACCUCAAGUCUGCUGUCAAAGACCGGGGCUUAACCCCAGAAAGGCAGUGGAAACUGAAGUGCUAGAGUGCAGUAGGGGUAGAGGGAAUUCCCGGUGUAGCGGUGAAAUGCGUAGAUAUUCGGAAGAACACCGGUGGCGAAGGCGACCUUCUGGGCCGUUUCUGACGCUGAGGUACGAAAGCGUGGGGAGCAAACAGG
rnacentral:rRNA from 1 species